CAAUGGCAGGUACAGAGGGGUGCUACCGGGUGACCGGAUGCGGAUCUCGAAAGCCUGUCCCAGUUCGGACUGGAGUCUGCAACCCGACUCCACGAAGUUGGAUUCGCUAGUAAUCGCGCAUCAGCCAUGGCGCGGUGAAUACGUUCCCGGGCCUUGUACACACCGCCCGUCAAGCCAUGGGAGCCGGGGGCGCCUGAAGUCCGGGACCGCGAGGACCGGCCUAGGGCGAAACUGGUAACUGGGGCUAAGUCGUAACAAGGUACC
rnacentral:rRNA from 1 species